rnacentral:rRNA from 1 species
GAUGAACGCUGGCGGCGUGCCUAAUACAUGCAAGUAGAACGCUGAAGGAGGAGCUUGCUCUUCUGGAUGAGUUGCGAACGGGUGAGUAACGCGUAGGUAACCUGCCUGGUAGCGGGGGAUAACUAUUGGAAACGAUAGCUAAUACCGCAUGACAACAGUUAUUGCAUGAUAACUGUUUAAAAGGGGCAACUGCUCCACUACCAGAUGGACCUGCGUUGUAUUAGCUAGUUGGUGAGGUAACGGCUCACCAAGGCGACGAUACAUAGCCGACCUGAGAGGGUGAUCGGCCACACUGGGACUGAGACACGGCCCAGACUCCUACGGGAGGCAGCAGUAGGGAAUCUUCGGCAAUGGACGGAAGUCUGACCGAGCAACGCCGCGUGAGUGAAGUAGGUUUUCGGAUCGUAAAGCUCUGUUGUAAGAGAAGAACGAGUGUGAGAGUGGAAAGUUCACACUGUGACGGUAUCUUACCAGAAAGGGACGGCUAACUACGUG